AUGUACACCAAAGUGGUGUGUCUAAUCCCUUGCAUGCAGUUGAAGGAAGCUAUUGACUUUUAAAAUAAGGGUCCUCUGCAGAUGCUCGAUGUAACUGCAUGCAUGUACGUCCAGCAGAACACCAAGUUUGAAUGUGGCGAGGGUACGAAGACGAGGAGAGUGCUAACUAUUCAUGAGGUAUUUUUGUAUUGUAAAAUAUAUUAUUCAAAUCUUCAAUUUCAUUGAAUGAUGAUGUUUGACUGAGAUCCUAUCUUGUAUAAG